GUAUUGAACUUGCAGCAUUUAUUUCAAAAAAUAUUUAAGAAAUACAUUUAAGUGCAUAAUCACUUUGAGGAAAAAGAGAAAGAUGAUAUAAGGUAAACAAGAUUCCAUUGAGAAAGUGUGAGAAGUUUUGUGUUUAUGAUGGGCUACACAGAGCUGUCUUGACAUCCCUGGAGUUCCCUAUGCUUUAUCCUCAGCUCUCAAGGGUCCUUUGAUGAAAAAAUAGAGAAGCAUUAUUAAUUUUGAGAGUAUUUGGAUAGCUGCAGUAUUAGGUAAUGGAAAGCACCAUGAUCCUACUUUCCAGAGGAGUGGACAGCAGCCCAAACCAGGGGUCCAGUGACUCGCCUGUGAGCUGCUGUCCGGUGGAAUGGAAAAAACUGGACAGGGCCUGAGGCAUCACUUUGAAGUGCUCAGUCAACUGCAGAUGACCUGGGGCUUGCCCUGCUUUUGCCUUUGAGGGGCUGAAUGUGGAAGUGAAAAGAGCACCUGGAAUGUUUGUACUGUUGCCUGAAAGAUUUUUGUCCUUCAGAAGCAGAGCAAGGGGCUUGGUGAGAGGAAUGAGGUAUGCUAUGCUGCAUAAGAACAUUUGAGAAGACUUAACGGAGAAUGUCCACUAAGAGUCCACAGCCUUCCAGCAGUGGGUUAAGGAUUGGGAGCCUUCACUGCAACAGCAUGGGUCAAAAAAAGAAGAAAGAAAAAAAAAAGAGGCUAAUAGCCUUCCAGAAUCACUUUUAUGAAGUGGUGCUUUGGUAUACUGUCUUUAGCUUUCAUUGAGGGGCCCUACCUGAAACUUCCUUGGGAAAGCGCAAUCGUAUUCACAGAGGAAGGUGGUGGAAGACAUGACCCAGUGCUUCCUGCAGGAGUCACUAUCUAAUUGUGGUAAAUCUGUCUUUUCGCAGAAGAUCUGGUAGUCCUGACCCUAAGAGCCAUAGAUGUGUGUACUUUUCUCCCUUUUCACCUUGGCUGCCAGGAAACUCAAAAUCAGUGAUGUUCAACUAUAAGGAUGAUGGAGGCCCUCUGGUUUGCAGAGCUACAGUCUGCGCUUUCCUGAGCUCUCUUCAUUGUUAACCUCCCAAGCCCUGAAUUUUACAUUUGUGUUACUGUGUUUCCUGUAAGCUGCUUCAAAUGUUUGUAAAAAUAAAGGUUUGUAAAAAGAGACAGACAGAAGAAUCAUUGGGAAGAGUGACAGUUGAGAGAAUAGUAAAUGUUCUCUAUAAAACUGAACUAAACAUUAGGAAGAAAAUCAUGCAUAUAAACAAGAACAGACAUUCCUUCAGUAUUUCUUAAGAGAAAAUAAGAGGCCAGGAGGCCAGGAAUAAUAUUCAUGGUCUUGGGCAUAUGUCAAAGCAAUAUGUGUAACAAAGUGUGUAUGAUGGGAUUCCUGACUAGACGUCUGUGAAGAAAGAAAUAAGUUCUCAGGAGUUCGCAUUGUGGCUCAGAAGAAGCGAAUCCGACUACUAUCCAUGAGGAUGUGGGUUCAAUCCCUGGCCUUGAUCAGUGAGUCGGGGAUCUGGUACUGCCAUGAGCUGUGCUGUAGGUCGCAGACGUGACUCAGAUCUGGUGUUGCUGGGGCUGUGGCAUACGUAGGCCAGUAACUGUAGCUCUGAUUCGACCUGCAGCCUGGGAACUUCCAUAUGCCACACAUUUGGCCCUAAAAAGAAAAAAAAAAAGGAAAGUAGUGAGUUCCCAAUGAAGGGGGCAGAAAACUACACAGGUUUGCAAAGUCCAAAAUCUGCUGUGUGUGCAGAUUUGACCCAGGGUAGGUAAAAGAAGGCAAAAUCAUGUGAUUAGGAAAGUAUCCUACAUCCUGAUUGAUUACAAUGAAACAAAACAGGACACACUUUCUUGUUACACUUCCCAUUAUUUUUAGAGCAGGAAUAACAAAAGAAGUUAACUCCUUGGAUACCGGCAAGGGCAGAGCUCCCAAAGGCUUCAUUGUCUGCCUGACAAUUUUAUCUGUCGGAAGGCAGAAGAACUAGUGAGGAAAACAGCUGCUUUGGAGUGAAUUCUUAUCAGUAAAAAAGGAACUAAUGCCGGGUAAUGUGAAAAUGACCAGACUCUCUGGAGAGGGUAUGUACGUCGUCUUGGCCCCUCCCUGAACCUCCAAAGCUCUUUUCUUAGACCACAUUUUUGUUACUUCUCCUUGAAGUACUGUCAUUUAUACACUGUCCCCCAACAAGAAUGUCCCUUGGAGAUGGGACCACAUCAUGUCAUCUUUGUGUUUUCUGAAAUCUGGUGCACUAUCUUUUGAAAAUAAAAAAUUAAUCCAAUGUGCUGACCCGGAAUAUAGCAAGUUGUGUAACUUAAGGACGAUUGGACAUUUUAAAAACUUCUCGAUCCUGAUUAUAAAAUGCUUUCAUUGUAGACAACUGGAAAAAGUUGGGAAAGUAUAAAUGAAAAAAUUCAAACUUUCCAUAAUCCUUUCACCCACAACUAAACACUUUUAAGAACCUCCUCAUCUCUUAUACUUAAAUAUUGUUUUCAUAAUUAUGAACAUACUGUAUCUACAGUGGGCCUAACAGUUUCUGUUCACCUUACAUCCUGAGUAUUGUUCAUGCCAUGGAAAAUGACUUCAUUUAAAAAUAGCUACAUAAGAUUCCACUGCAUGUGUUUAUCAUUGUGACAAAAAAAAAAAAAAAAAAAAAAAAAAAAAAAAAAAAAAAAAGAGAGAGAGAGAGAGAGAGGGAGGGAGAGAGGGAGAGAGAGAACAUAGGGAUUUUAACUGACUACAAGCUUUAGGAACUGAGAAGUCAAAAAGGAAACCACUUCAUGGAAGGGUAGAGAUGAGCAAGAGACAGGGGUUCUGGGUUUUAUCCUGAGUUACCUGUGGUGUCUGUGGAGGGUGAGCUGAUGAGGAACAGUUCAAGCUACAAGUAAUGUUCAACCCAGAGAUUUAUGGAGCUGGCAGUUUCCCACAUUUGAAGGAUGAUUGAUUUGUGUCAUUUUAAAAAAAGAUUUAAAAAAUAAAUGGCCAUGCAGUAAAAGAGACUUUUUGGGGUCUACAUUUCUAUGAAUUUUAGCACAUGUGUAGAUUGGUAUAACCACCACAAUCAGCAUUUAGAGUAGUUUCAUCACUCCUCCUAAACUCCCCUGUACUAUCCCUUUAUAGGCACAUCUUCCUGUCCCCUUGAACUCCUGGCAGUCACUGAUAGGCUCUCUGUCACUGUGCUUUGUCUUUCCAACAACAGCAAUGAUCAACUUAUCCCAUGGCUUCUCAGUUGGCAGAACUAAGGCUGAUAGUUAGAAAUUACAAAAUUUUGGAGUUCCCGUCGUGGCUCAGUGGUUAAUGAAUCUGACUAGGAACCAUGGGGUUGUGUGUUUGAUCCCUGGCCUUGCUCAGUGGGUUAGGGAUCCAGAGUUGCUGUGAGCUGUGGUGUAGGUCACAGACGCAGCUCGGAUCUGGCAUUGCUGUGGCUCUGGUGUAGGCCGGCGGCUACAUUUCCGAUUGGACCCCUAGCCUGGCAACCUCCAUACGCCAUGGGUGCGGCCCUAGAAAAGGC
rnacentral:lncRNA from 1 species